rnacentral:piRNA from 1 species
UCUGAAUUUGAGGACAGCAAGUUCCAGUG